GAGCUUAAACCCCAUUCCCCGAUAAAGAUUCCGAAUUUCCAGAAAAAAUGGUCGCUUGAUUUGGUUACGUGUGUCUAGGCUUUUCUCGACUUCAUGGUACAGCGAGCUUUGUGAAGAAGCUCUGGGUUCAUGGCGUCUCUCGCUUUCGCGCUGUUUCUCUCACUUCCCAGCAAGAGAGGCCGCUUGAAGACGACGUGUGUUAAACCCUGUGCAGAAGAUUCUCUCUCAAAGUCGGAGAUCAAUGUUGAUGUACUGAAAGAGGCAACUAACCCGUUUUCAACGAGUUUUUUUUCUAAUAAAAGACAAAUGGUAUACUUUGGUGCAGGCAAGAAUGUUCUACUUCGGCACGCAUUCUCUGCUAGAUAGGAAGAUGAGAUCGACCACGUUCCAAGCCAUCAAGAUAUCGAAGAAACUAGCUAGGCAGUGUCGUCUUCUAUGACGUGAACCUGCCUUUACCGUUAUGGCAGUCCCGUGACGAAACCCAGGCAUUGAUCCAACAAGUGUGGGACCUUGCGGAUUUCAUCGAGGUCACGAAACAAGAGCUCGAAUUCUUGUGUGGGAUAAACCCGAUUCAAGAGUUUGAUACCGAAAACAACAGCAGCAGCAAGUUUGUCCAUUAUGAGGCAGAGACGGUGGAACCUCUUUGGCAUGAAAGUCUCAAGGUUUUGUUCGUGACGAAUGGCACUUCUCAGAUACAUUAUUACACUAAAGAGCACAGUGGUUCUAUUCUUGGAAUGGAAGAUGCACCCAUCACUCCUUUCACAGGGGAUAUGUCUGCAUCUGGAGAUGGCAUUGUUGCAGGUCUGAUGAGAAUGCUGACAGUUCAAUGGUAACUGAUAAAGGAUACCUGGAAAAAACUGUAAGGUAUGGGAUGAGUGUGGGGUUAUAGAUCAAUGGUUGCUGGCACAAACACGAGGGUUCCCUGUUAAGGGAGAGGUUGGAGAAGAUGAAGAUGAAGAUGAAGAAGAGGAAGAAGAACCUGAUCCAGGUGGGAUCAGAUCAAUAACAGAGAGGGAAUACAGAACAGUAGAGUAUGUUGAUGAAGAGGACGAUCCAUUUGCUAUGAAGCCAAUAGCAGAAAGAGUAUACAAACUUUUGGAGCCUGUUGGCUCAGUAAAUGAUGAUGAAGAAGAUUCAUCUUGAUUUUUUGAAUUUGAGUAAUCCAAAAAUUUGGAUUAUUAAUCAAAUUCCCUCCUAUUAAUCUGCAUAACUUGUAUCAGUGAUUUAACUUUGUAGUUUCUCAAUAAUUUGGAAAUCA